rnacentral:sRNA from 1 species
UGUGACAUACCACUUGUUGCCUCGGCGGAUCAGCCCGCUCCCGGUAAAACGGGACGGCCCGCCAGAGGACCCCUAAACUCUGUUUCUAUAUGUAACUUCUGAGUAAAACCAUAAAUAAAUCAAAACUUUCAACAACGGAUCUCUUGGUUCUGGCAUCGAUGAAGAACGCAGCAAAAUGCGAUAAGUAAUGUGAAUUGCAGAAUUCAGUGAAUCAUCGAAUCUUUGAACGCACAUUGCGCCCGCCAGUAUUCUGGCGGGCAUGCCUGUUCGAGCGUCAUUUCAACCCUCAAGCACAGCUUGGUGUUGGGACUCGCGUUAAUUCGCGUUCCCCAAAUUGAUUGGCGGUCACGUCGAGCUUCCAUAGCGUAGUAGUAAAACCCUCGUUACUGGUAAUCGUCGCGGCCACGCCGUUAAACCCCAACUUCUGAAUGUUGACCUCGGAUCAGGUAGGAAUACCCGCUGAACUUAAGCAUAUCAAUAAG